rnacentral:lncRNA from 1 species
CACUUAUGUCUUUUCACACUCAACAUUCAUAUGUAUGACACAGUAUUAUACUAAUGAACACAAACUUUGAUCUUGUUACCAUGAAAUUCACGUCAUUUAAAAGAUUUCUCUGCUCUUCACAGAUAUUUGAUCAAACCAAGCUCCCUCUCGCCCAAGGCUUCCCCCUUGAUUGAUGAGCGCAAGUUAUCUUUGAGGAGACCGAGGAAAAGGCAGGAACCCACGGGAGCAGAUAAAGACAGCAUCGAGAAACAUGUACCAAAUAACGUUGGACCAGAGAAUAUGCAAGUUCCCACAGUGUCAGUGAGUGAUACAAGCAGUGCAGAGGGCAGCAGCUGUCAGGAGUCUGGGGUGAAAGGAACCAUUGUGUGAGCAGCAGAAAGAACACCUACAUUGUACAAGUACCUGUUUUAAUGGGCUGCGGACCGCACAAAGUGGAUUACGUGGAGCAAGUUAGGGUUAUUGUUGCCACUGAGAUAAGGACAUGUUUUGGGAGAGUUCUUUGACUAUGUUUGGAGAUUUCAUAGAUUUUGCAAGUGUGGGUAUUUUCACAAUUAGCAGGAUUCUGAAUGAAUUAAUGCAAUUAGAUGAAAGUUUAUGUGAGAAUUGCAAUGGAGCAAAAGCCAUGUGUGAGUGCUGCCUGUUUUAAUUGUGCAGACGAGUUCAAAGGCAUGUGUAAGCAGUCUACAAAAGAUAUUGCCUCUGCCAGAAAUAAAAGGAAUUUUUACUUCCUGUGAAAAUUUUUUGAUGAUAUACAGACAUCACAGAGUGUCUGUGUAUAUCUAGAUCACUUUUGUCUGCUUGUGUCUUGCUGUUGCUUUAUUUUUCAAUUUCCUGAGGAGUAUUGUCGAAAUAGUGGAAGUGAAGUAUAAGCUGAAAAAUCAAUAUUAUUUGGUUUUUUUUCAAAAAGCCUUAUCAAACUUGUUACAUUUUUUAUACAUACUGGUAUAAUAUGUCAUUAAUCUCACAAGAGGCAUUUGGAUUAUGUAAUGUUAUUGGGUGAGUGUAUCAUAAAUUAUUCUUUUUGCAGAAGUUGUCUAACUUUUUGUGAAAGUUUGAAUAUAUUUGUGCUGUUGACCCCAUAGAUGCCAAUUUUUAAAAAAUUUUAAUUGAAAUGUUUGUAUCACAAAAAAUAUAGGUCCAGAUAAAAAAUAGUAAUUACAAAUUCUCCUUUUUUUUCAUAUGGACUGUUUUGUAUUUAGAAUUUGACUCUCUCUCCACAUGCAUAUACCCUUACAUAAGUAUAUGUUCUCCAUGUCACCUGACAAUCCAUCCUAGCUUGAUGAGAUUCUACCCGUCUUCUCUACCACAAUCAAUCCUGUUGUGAUAAAACCUCUUCUCUAACACAAUCUCUCUGUGAUAAAUACUCUUCUCUAACACAAUUAGUGCUGUUGUCAUCAAUCUCGCCCACUGUCACAUAUAUGAGAUAAAUUGAGAUUGUGUCAUUGUGUGAAAAAUGUACAAAAUUGAUUAGCAUGAUUUGAGCAUGAAAUGUUUUUAGUUGCAGUGCUAUGUAUUUGUAUUUGGUCAGAGAACCAGUACCCCAUGUGAUGUGCAACCCCAGGUUUUAGUAAAAAUUGUUUCCAUGUCCUCUGUGAAAAAAAAAUGCAGAUCAGUUUGAAAACCGGCAGUCUUGCAGGUAUUUCAGUAUCACUCGCCCUUAAGCUGUCACACCACAUUUUUUCUUUACAUCUGCUAGUAUUUUUUCUAUGUUUGAAAGGGGUUCAAAUUCUAAAAGGAAGAUUGGAUUUUAUGCCAAAAUAUGUAUGGAAUUACCUCUAAAACCUAAAGAAUAAUCAUGACUUUGUAGGAGCUUGCAUUGGCUUGAUAAGAAGUAAGAAUAUUUCAUUUGUUGAUGUGAGAAUUUUCAGUCUCAUUAAUUUUUUUUUAAUUAUGAACCUGAUCUUUGCCUAGAUUUCUUGGAAGUUCUCUCGUUGGUUUUGGUUUAAUGUGUCUGUAUAUCAGUCAGCCUUGCUGUCUGAUUUAAUUUUCUAUGAGUCUUUUUGAAAAUCUACGUAACAGCUGUUGAUAUCAAAAAUACUUUUAAACUUAUUUGCAAGGUAUGUUUUACCAGAUAUUGGAGGGCGUGGCUGAUCCCCCGAGUCACAACUUGUGAGAUGAUUGCAUUUUUGCACAAAAUUUAAAUAAAAACUAAGUUAUGGAUUUAAUUGCCAUACAUAUUUCUAUGAUUUGCAGCAGCAGAAACAUAUUGCAGUAUGUGUAGUUGUCUGUAGUAAUAAUAUAUAGAUUUUGUAUAUGUCUCCUCAUAUUGAUUUUGUAUAAUUUCAAGAUUUAUAAUUUUCUGAUUUUUUUUUUUUAGCCUGGCUUACUUUUUAGAAUUUUUGCUUUCAGAAAAAAAUAUCAUUUCUUGUACUUUGUUAAGAUUAAAAGAGGAUUUGUGAUAUAUAACACAGUGAUUCAUACUUUGUAUUUCAUUUUGUUUAUCUGUGCUGUAUUAUCAGAAACUACGCACUUGUUAUUUUUAUUUGUAAGGGACAACAUUCUUUCUUGUGAAUUCAGGUUAGUCUGGA